AAGUCGUAACAAGGUUUCCGUAGGUGAACCUGCGGAAGGAUCAUCAAUAAUAGACCGAAUUAUGAAAUUGGUCUGAUCUUUUAAAACCCAUUAUAUUUAUUACUUUGACCGGGUUUUAUAGAUUGAGAAGGGGGGGGGGAGAUCCGUGUGAGGAUUCCUCUUUUUUUCUUUUUUUAUAAAAUUAAUGGUCUAUAAAAACCUUUUUAUAAAGCUCACUCUUUAUUUUUUUUUAUUAAGGCUUUAUUAUAAGCCAUUGAACAGGAUUAAUAGACCAGUUUUAGGUGUAAUGCCUCUGGUGUAAAAAAAAAAUUAUUAAAACUUUCGGCAAUGGAUCUCUCGGCUCUCC
rnacentral:misc_RNA from 1 species